rnacentral:rRNA from 1 species
UGAGGUAGCAAUACCUUGAUGGCGACCGGCGCACGGGUGAGUAACGCGUAUGCAACCUGCCCGAUACCGGGGUAUAGCCCAUGGAAACGUGGAUUAACACCCCAUAGUACUUUUAUCCUGCAUGGGAUGUGAGUUAAAUGUUCAAGGUAUCGGAUGGGCAUGCGUCCUAUUAGUUAGUUGGCGGGGUAACAGCCCACCAAGACGAUGAUAGGUAGGGGUUCUGAGAGGAAGGUCCCCCACAUUGGAACUGAGACACGGUCCAAACUCCUACGGGAGGCAGCAGUGAGGAAUAUUGGUCAAUGGACGUAAGUCUGAACCAGCCAAGUCGCGUGAGGGAAGACUGCCCUAUGGGUUGUAAACCUCUUUUAUAAGGGAAGAAUAAGUUCUACGUGUAGAAUGAUGCCUGUACCUUAUGAAUAAGCAUCGGCUAACUCCGUGCCAGCAGCCGCGGUAAUACGGAGGAUGCGAGCGUUAUCCGGAUUUAUUGGGUUUAAAGGGUGCGUAGGCGGUUUAUUAAGUUAGUGGUUAAAUAUUUGAGCUAAACUCAAUUGUGCCAUUAAUACUGGUAAACUGGAGUACAGACGAGGUAGGCGGAAUAAGUUAAGUAGCGGUGAAAUGCAUAGAUAUAACUUAGAACUCCGAUAGCGAAGGCAGCUUACCAGACUGUAACUGACGCUGAUGCACGAGAGCGUGGGUAGCGAACAGGAUUAGAUACCCUGGUAGUCCACGCCGUAAACGAUGCUCACUGGUUCUGUGCGAUAUAUUGUACGGGAUUAAGCGAAAGUAUUAAGUGAGCCACCUGGGGAGUACGUCGGCAACGAUGAAACUCAAAGGAAUUGACGGGGGCCCGCACAAGCGGAGGAACAUGUGGUUUAGCAUGUAAUGAUGAGCACUCUAACGGGACUGCCACCGUAAGGUGAGAGGAAGGCGGGGAUGACGUCAAAUCAGCACGGCCCUUACACCCAGGGCUACACACGUGUUACAAUGGCCGGUACAGAGGGCCGCUACCAGGUGACUGGAUGCCAAUCUCAAAAGCCGGUCGUAGUUCGGAUUGGAGUCUGUAACCCGACUCCAUGAAGUUGGAUUCGCUAGUAAUCGCGCAUCAGCCAUGGCGCGGUGAAUACGUUCCCGGGCCUUGUACACACCGCCCGUCAAGCCAUGGAAGCCGGGGGUGCCUGAAGUCCGUAACCGCGAGGAUCGGCCUAGGGCAAAACUGGUAACUGGGGCUAAGUCGUAACAAGGUAGCCGUACCGGAAGGUGCGGCUG